UCUCAAAUCCAUCUUUAGACAGUACAGGGUUCAGGCUUUUAUAUCAAGAGAAGGGAAAAUGGGGGGAGCUGUUUUUAUGAAACCUCAAGCCCCUAGCCGAAUUCCUUUAAUGAUCUGCAUGUCUAAAGCAGGAGCUUAGCCUGAAGGCUGAGGGAACUUGUUCCAUCCUUGAACCAGAUGGAAUCCGAGAGUCUGAGAGACCCAGCACUUCAGUCUGUUACACAUCGAGCUCUCUAAGGGCAGGGUCUGUCCCAAAGCACCGUGCACAGCACCCGGCACUCAUUAAUCUCUGUUGAGUGAACAGGGAAAAUGUGAACAGCACAACUAGUGUAACAGCAUGAGCAUCUGAGAGUGGGAUGUUUGCUUUCCUUGCAGACGUGCUGACUGGCAGGAAUCCAAGGAUGAGGAGGAAUCUGGCUUCUUGGGGGUGUUUUCAGGAAAAUGAGGCUGAGUUAGUAACAGAUCUGAAAAAGGAGUGUCAGGGUACUGGAUGGCGUAGCCAAGAUUUCCAAGACUGAUGGCUUUUUGCAGAAAAUAAGAUGAAAAAGAACGAGGCAAAGAAGGAAAACCAUUUUUCCUUGUAAUAAAUUUGAAAUAGUUUUUUCUCUUUUUUCUUCCUUUCUACUGAGAAGUUAAGAUUGGUUAACUGAAACAGACUAAAAAUACCCUUUUGUAGCAUGCUACGGUAUUUUCUCUUUGUCUAAAAUUAGCUGAUUUGAGCUGUGUACUCUGGUUUUCUAAAGCCUUCCAUUAGUUGCUCUAGCUACUUCUCUCUAGUUUUGAGACAGGCUAGUAAGCCAGGACAAGCUGAAUAGGGAAACUGAGACAGAUAGUAAAAGACCAAGCAGUUUACAGCCCUCUAGUAAAUUGUAAAACCCUCUAUUCUGUAACCAAGGACACUUAAGAGUAAAUAGUUUACAUUUCUUCUUAUCCAGGGGGUAAAUAGCUUAAAUCUCCCUAUUCAGGAAGCUAGAUGACAGAAAUCCAAUUAGUGCCAUUUGCCAACCUAACCCAAGGACAAAUGAACUUAAGGGAAUGAAUCUUAUUUUGGCACAUCUGCAUAACACUGAUGAAUAUGCUAUUGAAGUCCUUCUUUCAGACCUCCCCUAAAUUCCCAGCCUUUAAAACCCCUCAACUUGAAAGUCCUUUCCCUCUCCCCCCCACCCUUUUCCCACAGGCAUGCAUCUCAAGCUCUAAGGGACACAGCGAGACUUGCAAUCAGGGAGCAGUGGGCAGCAGCUGCUUGUCCUGGCAAACCCCCUGAAGCUGUCCCCAAGGCCCCCUUUUCUCUGACUUCUAAGUGAGCCAAAGCAGCCCAGUCUAAGCUCAUUGCCCACCUAGUCUCUCCUGUUGCUUCUUCUGUCCUAGGCUCUUCCUUGUUUCACUGUCCCCACCUGUAAUAAACGUCCUCAAAAAAUC